rnacentral:rRNA from 1 species
UACAGAGGUCCCGAGCGUUGUUCGGAUUUAUUGGGCGUAAAGGGUGCGUAGGCGGUUUCUAAGUUUGAUGUGAAAUCCCGGGGCUCAACCCUGGAAUUGCAUUGAAUACUGGGAGACUAGAGUACUGGAGAGGAAACUGGAAUUUACGGUGUAGCAGUGAAAUGCGUAGAGAUCGUAAGGAAGACCAGUGGCGAAGGCGAGUUUCUGGACAGUUACUGACGCUGAGGCACGAAGGCCAGGGGAGCAAACGGG